rnacentral:rRNA from 1 species
UAGCAAUACGGCAGCGGCAGACGGGAGAGUAACACGUGGGAACGCGCCCUUCGGUUCGGAAUAACUCAGGGAAACUUGGGCUAAUACCGGAUACGCCCUAACGGGGGAAAGAUUUAUUGCCGAAGGAACGGCCCGCGUCCGAUUAGCUUGUUGGUGAGGUAACGGCUCACCAAGGCGACGAUCGGUAGCUGGUCUGAGAGGAUGACCAGCCUCACUGGGACUGAGACACGGCCCAGACUCCUACGGGAGGCAGCAGUGGGGAAUAUUGGACAAUGGGCGCAAGCCUGAUCCAGCCAUGCCGCGUGGGUGAUGAAGGCCCUAGGG